UUAUAGUGCUUAUUCUUACUGAUACAAUCUUGAUACUCAUUUUUCCAGUUUAUAAACGCUUCAUGCUAUUUUUCAGGUGCCCUAAAGCCAGUGUCAGUCGAGGAUGUUGUGUAUCCGGUGGUAUGGGGGCGCGUGAUAAAGGGGUUCAAGUAUAAAGUAUCUUGUCGGAUACAACUUGACUGCGUCCUGGAUUGAGAUGGCACGGUGGCCAUUGUAGUUUAUGCGAGUCUCAGUCCUGUGUCCUCCCCAGCAUAACGCAGAACAGGUUGGGAAACCCGACCUGAGGCUAAGCAAAGAGCAAAUCUUCCUACCACUGCAGCUGUGCGGAACCCGGGUCACAGUGCGCACAGAAUUAGCAACGGCGAACUUACAAUACAUUUUGUGACAUACUUCCCAGGUGAAUUUAAGCCAUAGUGCUUUAAUAAAAAAGUAGUAUUUUUGUAAAAAUAAUGAAUUUAAAAAAUAGAUAUUAGCAGCUUUUUGCAACUUGCUGUUAGUGUUUUCUGCACCCCCCAAGCCUACCGUUCUUGCAUCUGAUCAAACCAAAACAAGAUGUCCUCAUUCCGUAUCCUAACAUCUCUGAGUUAGAAGAUAUCAUUAUUAAUAUUCAUGCGGGGCUGUAUGAAAGGAUGAGGGAAAUGAGAGAAAGGGGAUGGAAAUGAACCCUGGUUUCCCAGCCCUAGAGUCUCCUGAGCCGGAGGGACUGAGCGGAGGGAGGGAGGGUCGGGCAGAGCAGCUGGCCUGGAGCGCCGGAGGGAUCCACGCAGUCAGGAAGCGCGGAGGCCUGGGUGGAGCGCAGCAAGGAAACAGGACUGGAGGAGGCUGGUGCUGGUGCUGAUGCUGCUAAGAGGCAGACAGCAGAGCGACACAGCGGAGAGGAGGGGAAGAAGCGGGUGUCCCGGAGGACACCUCGGGCGAAUUCCGUGCUAGCGUCAUCCCUGCAGCACGGGCUGUCAUUACUCUGAGUGUGAACAAUCCAGGAGUUGAUCACUCAGAAGAGAUGUGUGGGGAUCUACACGGGGGUGGGUGCAGACACAAAUGUAGAUCAGCUGCUUGUGUCUCAGCGAACGAGCGAAGAGGAUCGCACACAGCAGCUGUGCAGAAAGGACGUCAAGAUUUCUUGGAUAAGUAGAUACACUGAUUUUUUUUACUUCGUACUUGUGCUAAUUGUUAAAAGAAAAUGGAAUUAUAAUACUGUGUUCAACAUGGCCACACGAGCCAAUGGUGGGCUGGAUCACGACGUUGCCAAGGGCGAUGACGCGCCUGUCGUCUUUGCCUGCGAAAUCACGGCUGUGGGACAAAACCAGGCAGAGCCAGAUGCAGGGCAGUGGCUCACUCAGGCCAGCGUAGGUGGGGAAUGGGCCAGUGCUUUGGGGUGUUGAGAACACAGUGCUGCUCCACUCGGGGUGCUGUCUUGCUUGGCCAAGUUCUGUCUGUGACAAUUCACCCAGUGCUGCAUGUGACCUGCAUUUUUCUGCAUGUGUUUUAUAUUUAUAUCAAAUAGCAACAGACAGUGCCAGAGAAGCACAACUUGGAAAAGUGAUUUCGAGAUGUUCAGGAUCCAGAAGUUCCUCAGAUCAACAGCCUCUCGAAGAGGAUGCUGCUGGUCCUAGAUCUCAUCUACACUAAGGAAGCAGUCUCAUCCAAGCUAGUUACCUUUGGGCUCCUGAGUGCUUGGACUUCGUACGUGAACUCUGCAAACUCACAGGGAGUACAGCUGAGCAAGAUUGGUGGGAGAAGAGCAGAUUUCAGUAGGUACAGCCUUGUGGAGAGCCACGUCACACACGGAGAGACCUCGGCAUUAUGCAGCAAGGCUGCGGAAUGAGUCGGGGAAGAGGAAGCCAUUUGUACCAAAACUAAGCGCAAGUCUGCUGGCGCACACAUUGGGGAGUGAAGACCCAAAAUGAAGGCAGGUAUUUUAUCCUCGGGAGCAUAAACAACUGGUUAAAAGUAAGCUGGAGAAGCCAGAAGGGAUGCCAGAGGCUGGGUGGUUAGAUAGGGGUCAGUUUGUGGGGAAGACAGAGGAAAACGAGAAGGUCCACUUUCGCCUCCCGCGAACUCUUCGUUCCGCUCUGUGACUACGAAUGAACGGUCGGUCCACUCAUCGCCUCUCACCUACCUAAGGACGAUUCUUCAGAAACUCUUCCUUCCUGCGUCAAACUCCCGAUCUCCCCGCUGCAGUGUGCGUUGCAGCAGCAGGAGUGCGCUGUCCCAUAGCGCUCUCUCCUGCCAGUGGUCGUCCUCCGUCCCUGGCCCGUUCCUCUUCGCCACUUCCUGGCAUGUGGUGUUAAAAAGAAGCUUUGCGUCCUCCCACUAACCCUCCCACUGUUCGAGUGUGGCUGUAGCCAAUGAGAUGUCACCCCACUGUUAAAUUAAAAUCUAUUUUCAGUUCCUGUCUUAUUUAAUCAAUCAGCAGCACAGCACUAUCCAUAUUAAAAACACUGUUUGGUGGGGGUACAGUUGUUCUCGGUCUGUCUGUCUUAUCUGUGAUUCGUUCUU